GAUGAAGAACGCAGCGAAAUGCGAUAAUUAAUGUGAAUUGCAGAAUUCAGUGAAUCAUCGAGUCUUUGAACGCACAUUGCGCCCCCUGGUAUUCCGGGGGGCAUGCCUGUCCGAGCGUCAUUGCUGCCCUCAAGCACGGCUUGUGUGUUGGGCUUCCGUCCCUGGCAACGGGGACGGGCCCAAAAGGCAGUGGCGGCACCAUGUCUGGUCCUCGAGCGUAUGGGGCUUUGUCACCCGCUCCCGUAGGUCCAGCUGGCAGCUAGCCUCGCAACCAAUCUUUUAAACCAGGUUGACCUCGGAUCAGGUAGGGAUACCCGCUGAACUUAAGCAUAUCAAUAAGCGGAGGA
rnacentral:misc_RNA from 1 species